rnacentral:lncRNA from 1 species
AGGUACCAUGGUUAGCACCUCUUUCCUCCCAAGGAAACCAGUAGUGACUAGCCUGAAAGCCAUACCAAAUGUUGGGCAAGCUCUCUUUGGUCUUAAAUCUCAGAGGGGUGGUAGGAUUACUUGCAUGGCCAGUUACAAAGUGAAGCUUAUUACACCAGAGGGAGCUGUUGAGUUUGAUUGUCCGGAUGAUGUUUACAUUCUUGAUCAAGCUGAGGAAAUGGGACAUGAUCUUCCUUACUCAUGCAGAGCUGGUUCUUGCUCUUCUUGUGCUGGAAAAGUUACAGCUGGAAAUGUUGAUCAGUCUGAUGGAAACUUUCUUGAUGAUGACCAAAUGGCUGAUGGAUUUGUUCUAACCUGUGUUGCUUACCCCCAGUCUGAUGUUACUAUUGAGACUCACAAGGAGGAGGAGCUCACUGCCUAAACCCCUCAAUCUCAUUAUUUUAAAAAAGUUUGAUGAGCAUUUAUUUUCAUAUGUAACUCUUUUGUUCGCAUAAAAGAUGCUAUGUUGCAACUUCUAGUCAAUGACUUUGAUUUGCUUAGUAUAUCAACUUUCAUCUCCUUAUUCCCCGCUUUUAGAUGUGUUAAUUUUCA